GAUGAACGCUGGCGGCGUGCUUAACACAUGCAAGUCGAACGAAGCUGCUAAAAGGAAGUCUUCGGACAGAAUUUUAGUAGACUUAGUGGCGGACGGGUGAGUAACGCGUGGAUAACCUGCCUUAUACAGGGGGAUAACGGAGAGAAAUUUCCGCUAAGACCGCAUAAGACCACAGCACCGCAUGGUGCAGGGGUAAAAUAUUUAUAGGUAUAAGAUGGAUCCGCGUCCGAUUAGCUAGUUGGUGAGGUAAAGGCCCACCAAGGCGACGAUCGGUAGCCGGCCUGAGAGGGUGAACGGCCACAUUGGGACUGAGACACGGCCCAAACUCCUACGGGAGGCAGCAGUGGGGAAUAUUGGACAAUGGGGGAAACCCUGAUCCAGCGACGCCGCGUGAGUGAAGAAGUAUUUCGGUAUGUAAAGCUCUAUCAGCAGGGAAGAAAAUGACGGUACCUGACUAAGAAGCCCCGGCUAACUACGUGCCAGCAGCCGCGGUAAUACGUAGGGGGCAAGCGUUAUCCGGAUUUACUGGGUGUAAAGGGAGCGCAGACGGCGAAGCAAGUCUGAAGUGAAAUGCAUGGGCUCAACCCAUGAAUUGCUUUGGAAACUGUUUGGCUUGAGUGUCGGAGGGGUAAGCGGAAUUCCUAGUGUAGCGGUGAAAUGCGUAGAUAUUAGGAGGAACACCGGAGGCGAAGGCGGCUUACUGGACGACAACUGACGUUGAGGCUCGAAGGCGUGGGGAGCAAACAGG
rnacentral:rRNA from 1 species